AAAGUCAUUCGUCUCUCUCAUCUGAUUACCAUGAUUUCCACUUCUCUCUCUCUCUCUCGUGUUCUCUUUUCUAUCUCUUUUUUCUCUAAAGCCCUAAAACCACCGCCGCCACCCUUUCCGCCUCUAUUAUCGACGAACACCACCUCCGAUGAAAAAUCAAAGCCAUUUUCGUACUAUUCGUCCCAUGGACUUCCUAAUGAACUGGUCGGAAUUUCGUUUCCAACAACCUCGCCUCGGAUACUGUUACUCACCGUCGACCAGUUGGUUCACCAAACUCCGACCCAGCGUCACGCUUUUCACUCAAAAAAAUCAAUCUUCUGAUUUUUUUGUUAUUGUUUCUAUUUUUUUUGAAGCAGCUUAAGAGAGAACUGAAGACUCAAGCUUCUUGCUCAAUGGAAGAGAAAGAGAGGGGAAAUUCUACGAAAGCAGCAACUAUAUUAGAAACUUCAUUGAAGAUGUCUGCAACAAAGCUCCUGUUGAAACUUAUAUAACGACAUCCCUCCCUCUACUCCGAUAUACAGGGUAUGCUGUCAUUCAUGGAGAUUUUAAAAAUUGCAUCUGAACUUUUUCUUUCAUGAUUUUUUGUUCUGUUUCUGUUAUGAUUUUAUAAAGCUAUUAAUGGUUGAAGGAAUUGUUUGGUUUGUUGCAGAUAAUUGAUAGGAUUUAUGUUCUUAUUUAUGAAAUGACAUUAGCUUUCUGCUUGGUAUCAGAUCCUAUGUUAUAUCCCUUGCUCCCAUCUCUAUAUUUUCUUAGUUUAGAACUUUGAUUUGUUGAGCGAGAUUAUGUUUCAUUUAAUUGUUCGCUGAACAAUUUAUAUGUUUCAGGUAUUACUUUAUUGUUCAAUGGACCACCAGAGGCUCGAAAGCCAGAUAUUAAAUGGAUGCUCUAUAUUUUCAAGAUUGGUGAAAUGUUGAAUGGUAAUCUUUUGUUCCCGCUGCUUAAAUUUUACAAAUUCAUUUUUUAAGGUUAAUCAUGUGUUGUACUAUUGAUUUUGUGUUACUGCUAAGGUUGAUUUCUUAUUGCUCUGUCCUACCAUCUUACUAAUGCAGUAUUUAGAUGUAGUCUUUGUUAUCACCAAUAUAUAUAUAUAUAUAUAUAUAUAUAUAUAUAUAUAUAUAUAUAUAACUUCCCCUGGAAAGUGAUACUUUUCAUGCAAUAGGCCUUACAUAAUCGACCUUGGAAGCACAAACAAAACUUCUGUUCAUGUUAGUGGUCAUUGAAUGUCUUUGAUUAGUUUCUUUGUAAUUUUCAUUUGACGUAGUAGCAAGUAGUGAGCUUAAGUUGGAUGUGAGUUAUUUAUCAUCUGAUACUGCUUCUGCAAGAUAAUCCCAUUGAACCUCGACGAUAUUUUGAACUUAGGGAGCAAGACACUAUUAAAUUUGGUAAUAGCAGGUAAGUGACAAGUAGAUGUUAGUUGUUUUUCAUCUACUAUGGUGUUUCAAUCAUUGGUUUGUGUCAUGUCUAGGAUCUAGCUUUUUGCCUCCCCUAAAAUGUUAUAUUAUAUAUUAUAAGAAUAACCAGCCAUAUUGAACUAUGGGAUGCUAUGUAAUUGUUUGUGGAGGUUGCUAAUUAGACUUCAAUUCAAAAUAGCCUUUCUCUAUCCUUUCUUUUCUUCUACAACAACUACAUGUGUUUGUAUUUAUUACUUAUACUCUUUGGUCUAAUUAAUUUUCUGUGAAUGUUUAAAAGUUUAUCCAAAUAGCCUUUUUUUCUUUGACAUGGAGAAUUAAUUUUAUGAGACCAUGUUUUUAUGAUCCAGCUGAGAAUAGAGCCAAGUUUUUAUGAGUUCAGAGUCAUGAGAGAUUCAGUUCGAUACAACUCAAGAACCAGAAAUUUCUGAUAUGUUGGUACCAAAACAUGCUGCUACAAAGGGUGCAAGGACCAAGAACGCCAGGCACAACAAAACUAAAUGAUGUUCUAAACCAUGACCUUGCUAACAGCCAGAUCUUUAUUUUGAUGCUUAUUUAACACCUUGCUUUUGUUAAGGCUUUUUAGAUGUCCACCUCUACUUUGAACACUCUUAAAAUGCCUAAUUAAAAACAUAAGUUUCAAUGUCAACUUAUUUUGUAAUAAAUAUUCCAUUUAGUUGGAAACAUGUUUAUUGAUAUGUCAAUCCUUUCUAUUAAAAUUGUUAUUAAAUUAUUUAUGAUCAAGUUUAACCCUUUAAUCAUUAUGCUCAAUCAUAAUUAUAUCUCAUUCCUAUUUAUUACUGCCAUAAUGUUGAUUCUGGUUUCUAUAAUUACAGUGACCAUUAUAUGAACCGGUUGAACCUCAUUCCUAUUUUGUUUAUAUAACCCAAGAGAAGAGAAGGAAACCACAAAUUCUAUAAGCCAUUUCAAAUAUUUGAAGUAUGACACUUCAUAAAUCCUUUUAAAUAAAGUGACGUGUAAAUUUUGCGAAUGUCAAAGCAAUAGUGAUCAUCUACAAGGGAGAAAGUGACGUGUUUGUAUACACCGGAGCUACUGUGAUCAUUUGUUUGUUUGUAAUACAUGAGCCUAAAAUAUCCAGAUAUACAUUGUUGAUUACUUUGAAUGGGAUGGGGAAAAGCGUGGAUGUCUUUAGAUGGUGUAUUUCAAUAUAUCUCAGAUAUAAUUUACAUCUCAACUUAAAUUUUUUUAGUUAUUCUAAUUAGUUUAUUCAUGUAUAAAUCUAGGAUGUGAGGCCAUGUUCGUUGAUUCUGCACUAAUGGUCUGGACUUCAAAAUCCAGACUAAAAUGAAUUGGGGCAGAAUGCAUUCAUGCAAGUACCAUAAUCCUCAAAUGACUAAAAUUCACACCAAAUCUUAUUAAGAACAAACAUUACAUUUAUAUUGAAUGUAUUCGGAUGUAGCAUAACUAUUACCUGUUAAAGAAAUGAAUGCAUCACAAAUUAAAAAGAC